rnacentral:lncRNA from 10 species
AGCCAGCUUCGGCCCCUCCGCCCCCGGUCCCGAUUCUGUGCCCUGGCUGAGCGCCUGGCCCAUACAGCGGGCGGCAGAGGACGUCGCAUUCCUGGCGGGGAUCGGGGCGGGUCUUCGGCUCAGCUCUGCGGACCGCUGGGGUUCUCCUCGACGCCAGGGAGGGGCGCGCGGCGCGGGGACCCGCGCUCCGGCGCUUCCCCGAGCAGCUCCCGGGCGAGAGCGCGCGUCGCCGGCUGUCUGUGCGGUGCGCGUCCCUCCCAACCCCCACCGCGCACGGAGUGUUUGUCGCCAUCCCUGUGCCCCACCCGCCCGUGUCCUGGCACCCAGGUGUGGAACGUGCGCUCGUGUGUCCUCUGGGGGUCGCGUGCCCACAGGGGUGGACGUGUCUGGCUGGCGUGGGCGCGUGUGUGGCCCGGUGUCUGCGUGGCCCAUCAGGGGAGACGGGACGCGGUGCCCAGGGAGGGCUUCUCGCGGGCAGCCUCCUCGGGCGGCUACCCAGCCUCCUUCCUGCGCGCCCGCUCAGUCCCUGGCCGGCACUGCCCGGCACUGCGGGACUUCGCUCACUCCUCCCAGGGGGAAGACCCAGCCGGAAAGUGCCCUUCCCCUGACAGGGUCCUGUAGCCCUUGGGGAUGACGCAGGAAAGCCCCUCACCUUGUCCUGCUGGAAGUUGGGCUGCACGGAGACCUGGGCCUCCGGUGCUGCCUGCAGGUCGCCCAGCACCCCCAGCAGGGCCAGUCCCAUCCACAGUGUGUGAUGAGUAGCCAUUCUCCUGCAGCAGAGCGGGUGUCCGGGGCCUGGUGCCAGUGGUGUGGGAGAGCGAGGGAGGUGUGCAGGAGGAGCGGAGGGCACUGAGGAGACCCCUAUUUAUGGGCCAGGCUUGGCCUCCACCCAGGGCCCGGGGACAGCCCACUGAACACUCGUGAUGCUGGGGGAUGGGGUGGCCAGGCACAGCUGCAGCCUCGUCCCCCACAGGGCGCUUAUGCAAGAGGCCUGGGCCUGCUGCCCCAGCUGAGGCAGCGUGGGGGUGAGGCAGAGGCCCCUGCCCACUGGUCCCAGAGACAGAGCUGGCAGGGACCUUGCCCACCCUCCUCCUGCUGGCAGGGCCCACCAACCCAGCGGCCCUGAUAGGGCAGGGGCUGUGUUCCUCAGCCAUGCCCGCCUCCGAGGCCUCUGGUGACUUCCCACUGGGGGCCAGGACCCACAUCUCACAGCCCCUACCAUCAUUCCCUUUCCGAGCCCUGCCACCCCAGAAGGGGACACAAGCCCCACUUCCACCCUGAGAGUUUGGUCCUGAAACGCCCAGCAAGUGAAGUGUUGAUGAGAAGCUCAGGCCAAGGUAGAGAAACUUGAUCUGGCCCGCAGGGUCCCGAGGGCCAGGUUUGCUGGGCAUGGCUUCCCCCAUGGCCAGCUGUUGGGGCUCUGAUAGUGACCCCUGGGUGCCCAUUUCAGCCUGGGGCACCUUUGGGCUUGAGCACAGGCCCUAUCCCUUGCCAGAGGCCCCAACUUCCCCCAGCAAUCCCCCCACCCCAAGUCUGCCCCCCGCCGAGUCUGGGCCUCCCCACCCCGAGUCUGGUCCAGACUCGGGAGCACCCCGUGGGGCUGUCCUGUUACCCCAGCGCUGCACCCAGCUCCUUGGGCCCCUCCAGCUCGUUGGCCCUGGCUGGGGCCCUGUCACAGGCCGUCACAGGCAGGCACAUGUGGUGGGCCCUCUCUGGAUUCUGUUGGGACUGAGCUUCCCUGGCAGGCGUGGUGGGUGAGCGCUGCCGCUGGUCUGAAGGUGAGCCCGGGUGGGGAGCUGGGAAAUGUACAUGAGAGCAGGAGUGAGUCGGAUGGGGUGGGGUGGUGAGCUUCUACGGGGCUGCUGGCGACCACUGGGGGCCGGAGCCCGUCUUCUUCCUGGAUUCUGUGGCCCAUCCCUUGCUGGGGGCGCACGAGCCCUGGGAGUGGGCUGGUGUGGACUGCUUCCUUGUUCCCCUUCCCCAGUGCCCGGGGGUCAAGGAGCCCAGACUGGGGGAGGCGCAUGCCUAUGUAGCAGCAGGGGCUAGUGGGCAGCACUGGUGUCAGGGCUGGUGGGGGUGGCCGGGUAGCAUCCCAGGCAGAGGCCAAGGUGAGGGAGUGAGUCCCAGGGAGCCGGGAGGCACCUGAGAGGCAGGGAGAAGGAGGGCAGCGGUGCAGGGGGGCCAAGGCAGUCCUGAGAACCCACUCCUCCACCUGGACCUCCUAUCAACCCCUGCCUGAAGCAGCAGCGUGCUGCUAGCUCAGAUGCCAUCUGUGCCAUGGGCUGAGAGGGAGAGUCUGUUGGAACAGAUAGGGGUGGGGUGCCUAAACCCGGGACCCCGCGUGGCCCGCAAGCCUGGCUCAGCUACAGAGCUGGGGGCUGCCGUCAGGACAGGGGAGGGGCAGGAAGAGAGUUGCGGCUGGGAUAUCACCACAAGACUGGCCUCCUGCCCGCUGCCAGCUGAGUCCUGGCUGUCAUUCCACUCUGGUGGGGCUGGUGGCUCGCUGACUGGCCUGGCUGGAGGUCCCAACCCAGGCUAGGCUGGUCCAGGACAAGAGCGCCUCCCGGUGGUGAGCAAGCUCUGGGGUGUGGUGGCGGGUGGCCCGGGGCAGGGAGACCCAGGACACGUGGCUCUGGGUCUGAAUGGCUUCCGUCUGGGCAGGCCUGGGUCACCGAGACCAUAUGGUCGUUGGCGCCUGGAGAGCUGGAAGAGCUAACAGGAUCAUGCUUCGGUUCAGGACGGACUCCUCAGUCCCACAUCCAGGAAGGGCUGGGCAGUUGCCAGCUCCUGGCACGCCAGAUUUCUCCCCUCCUCCCCCGGCUAGGACUGUGCAAGGUGGACAGGGGCAGGAGGGACCUUCGCAGAGCCUCUUGCAGCUUGGGCAGGGACAAGGACCACCCUGCACACUCUCUGUGCCCUUCCCUUUGCUCUGAGCUUGGCUGCCAGGCAGGACCUUAGUGGAGCCUGGCGGAGGGCUGGGCAGGAAGAAGGCUGGC